GGGAAGAGCUCAAAUUUGAAAUCUGGCGUCCUCAGGGCGUCCGAGUUGUAAUCUAUAGAGGCGUUUUCCGUGCCGGACCGUGUCCAAGUUCCUUGGAACAGGAUAUCAAAGAGGGUGACAAUCCCGUACUUGACACGACGACCGGUGCUCUGUGAUACGUCUUCUACGAGUCGAGUUGUUUGGGAAUGCAGCUCAAAAUGGGUGGUGAGUUCCAUCUAAAGCUAAAUAUUGGCGAGAGACCGAUAGCGAACAAGUACCGUGAGGGAAAGAUGAAAAGCACUUUGGAAAGAGAGUUAAACAGUACGUGAAAUUGUUGAAAGGGAAACGAUUGAAGUCAGUCGUGACCGAGAGGCUCAGCCGGUUCUGCCGGUGUAUUCCCCUCGGUCGGGUCAACAUCAGUUUUGUCCGGUGGAUAAGGGCGGUAGGAAGGUGGCACCCUCGGGUGUGUUAUAGCCUGCCGUCGCAUACAUCGGGUGAGACUGAGGAACGCAGCUCGCCUUUAUGGCCGGGGUUCGCCCACGUCCGAGCUUAGGAUGUUGACAUAAUGGCUUUAAACGACCCGUCUUGAACCACG
rnacentral:rRNA from 1 species